GGGGAAUUUUCCGCAAUGGGCGAAAGCCUGACGGAGCAAUACCGCGUGAGGGAGGAAGGCUCUUGGGUCGUAAACCUCUUUUGUCAGGGAAGAAGCUCUGACGGUACCUGACGAAUCAGCAUCGGCUAACUCCGUGCCAGCAGCCGCGGUAAUACGGAGGAUGCAAGCGUUAUCCGGAAUUAUUGGGCGUAAAGCGUCCGCAGGUGGUUGUUCAAGUCUGCUGUUAAAGCGUGGAGCUUAACUCCAUAUCGGCAGUGGAAACUGAGCGACUAGAGUUCGGUAGGGGUAGCGGGAAUUCCCAGUGUAGCGGUGAAAUGCGUAGAUAUUGGGAAGAACACCGGCGGCGAAGGCGCGCUACUGGGCCGAAACUGACACUCAUGGACGAAAGCUAGGGGAGCGAAAGGGAUUAGAUACCCCUGUAGUCCUAGCCGUAAACGAUGACAACUAGGUGUUGCCCGUAUCGACCCGGGCAGUGCCGUAGCUAACGCGUUAAGUUGUCCGCCUGGGGAGUACGCACGCAAGUGUGAAACUCAAAGGAAUUGACGGGGGCCCGCACAAGCGGUGGAGUAUGUGGUUUAAUUCGAUGCAACGCGAAGAACCUUACCAGGGCUUGACAUGUCGCGAAUCUUUCUGAAAGGAGAGAGUGCCUACGGGAGCGCGAACACAGGUGGUGCAUGGCUGUCGUCAGCUCGUGUCGUGAGAUGUUGGGUUAAGUCCCGCAACGAGCGCAACCCUCGUUUCUAGUUGCCAUCAUUCAGUUGGGCACUCUGGAGAGACUGCCGGUGACAAACCGGAGGAAGGUGGGGAUGACGUCAAGUCAGCAUGCCCCUUACGUCCUGGGCUACACACGUACUACAAUGCUAUGGACAGAGAGUCGCAAGCCAGCGAUGGCAAGCCAAUCUCAUAAACCAUGGCUCAGUUCAGAUUGCAGGCUGCAACUCGCCUGCAUGAAGGAGGAAUCGCUAGUAAUCGCAGGUCAGCAUACUGCGGUGAAUACGUUCCCGGGCCUUGUACACACCGCCCGUCACACCAUGGAAGUUGGCCACGCCCGAAGUCAUUACUCCAACCGUAAGGAGGGGGAUGCCGAAGGCAGGGCUGAUGACUGGGGUGAAGUCGUAACAAGGUAGCCGUACCGGAAGGUGUGGCUGGAUCACCUCCUU
rnacentral:rRNA from 1 species